GACGAACGCUGGCGGCGUGCUUAACACAUGCAAGUCGAACGGAAAGGCCCUGCUUUUGUGGGGUGCUCGAGUGGCGAACGGGUGAGUAACACGUGAGUAACCUGCCCUUGACUUUGGGAUAACUUCAGGAAACUGGGGCUAAUACCGGAUAGGAGCUCCUGCUGCAUGGUGGGGGUUGGAAAGUUUCGGCGGUUGGGGAUGGACUCGCGGCUUAUCAGCUUGUUGGUGGGGUAGUGGCUUACCAAGGCUUUGACGGGUAGCCGGCCUGGGAGGGUGACCGGCCACAUUGGGACUGAGAUACGGCCCAGACUCCAACGGGAGGCAGUAGUGGGGAAUAUUGCACAAUGGGCGGAAGCCUGAUGCAGCAACGCCGCGUGCGGGAUGACGGCCUUCGGGUUGUAAACCGCUUUCGCCUGUGACGAAGCGUGAGUGACGGUAAUGGGUAAAGAAGCACCGGCUAACUACGUG
rnacentral:rRNA from 1 species